rnacentral:lncRNA from 1 species
AUGACGACGGAAAUUUUUAAACGACGCAUAUGGCGCUUAAUUGUGAUACUUUGGCCAGAAGAAGACGAUAAGGCAAAAACCGGGUGUUUCCCAACUAUUUAUAAUUUCAUUUCCUCACCUUUUCACUAUCAGUUGAGAAGAAAAACGACGAUUUGCGGAUCACUCGUCAAUGGAGGGGACGGAAUUGGAGGGAUAGGGACCUAUCCGCUCCUCAAAAUACGCAAACUCGGCGUUGGACCUCACCGACUCCCCCGAGCAACAGCUCCGAUCAAGGUCGGGAUCGCUGGAUCUUGUCGUGUCCAAGUAUCUGCUCUUGUGUCCGCCACUGUCACUUCCGUUUCCGCUUUCUCCUCCAUUUCCGCUUCCCCCGUCUUCGUCCUCACUUCUGCCUCCAGCUGUCCGGCCGCUCUUCUCCGCGCAGUCGCCGAUCUCGGUCACCUUCCGUACCGUCGCGCGAGGCAUUUCCGCUUUCGUCGUCCACCUCCCGUCGUCACUUCCGGUCCAGCAUGUGUUUCCGCAACCGCCAGACCCAUUUCCGCUUCCGCUACAACAUUUAGUUCCGGAUUCGUAGUGACGGUGCAGGCUCGUUGUCCUUUGUUGCUCGUAUUGCAUAUCCAGGGAAUUUUUCAAUUUCAGCGCGUCGUGAAGCAUGUCUUACCUAUGGCAAUCCCUGCAUUUGCCGUGGGUGUCCUCGUGGUGGACGAAGUUGGGGACGACAUUGUGGAUGACAUCCAAAUGGUGGCAGCAACCGUUGUUGCCGGGGCAAUGGAGAGACAAAGGCGUCGCGUUGAAACUGCAGGACCGGAGGCAGCCGUUGAACCGGUUGCUGUGGCCGAGUCCGACGGGUAUCCGGACCGGAGUGGCUAACGCCAGGUCGCGCCCCUUUUCGCGGUGCAGGUCUCGACGCCCUCUUUGCCGCCCCACACCACACGUGCACGCCCACUCGGCCAGGCCUGUCGGCUCCUCGUCGCCCCCGCAACCGCAACCGCUGUAUCCAUCAACAGAACAUGUUUAAUAAUAAAUAAUAAAAAAAGGCACAUUUGAACCAAAUUUAAGUCUAUUUUACGAUUUUUGAAAAACAAGAAAGAAAAAGGGAAAAAGAGGUGGAAUAUACUGCCGUGUUAAGGAAAAACGCCUCAUAAACUUUCAGGCGUUGCCAAAUUUCCAUUUAUAAAACACGAAUUUUCUGGUACACUUAUGAAUAUUUUUCUUCUAAUUUCUCGGAUAUCGCUGUUCGCAAUUUCAUCAAAAGUUCCUUAAAAUUUCAAGGAAAAAUAUUCAUAACUUUCCUAAAAAAAUAAACAUUUUACUGAAGGAAAUUGGGCAACUCUCGAAUGUUCAUACGACGUUCUUCCUUAGCACGGCAGUAUAGGAUCGGUAAUGUACAUUAACUAUGGGGUCCUCUGACCGCCUCUUGAGAGCGCGUAGCGCUGCAUUUACAGCCGUAAGCGUAAGUGCUAUCUUCUUGUGGGUGGUUGCGUUUUGGACACACAACAAACACAUCUUCAGAUUAGAAAUUGGCAAGAAAGGGUGACACUUUACUUAGAACCUCUGUCUUCAUUGGCUC